GCUCCUCACCAUGUCGAUCGCCUUCGUUGUUACUAGCGUUGCCAAUUGCUGUCGUCCUCGAUCAUCACCACCACCGCUAGCCCUACGAGUCACUGACGAUCGUCUCCUCUUAGAUCGCCUCACCGCUGGCCGAUUCGCCUGGAAUAAAAAUAUAUAAUGCUAUGACAUCAGAUAAAGUAUCUACGAAAACACUUUUACAGACAUGUGACGGUAUACUCCAUCAGGUAAAGGAUCUAUGAAAACACUUUUACAUGUUUUUCUACUUUUGUCUAUUUCUUUUUUAUUGGGAAAUGUUAGUUAUUAGAUUAGCACGUAUGGGAGAAAAUCUCUCCACCCUUGGCAAAGCACCUAAGUGCUUGCAUCCCUUAAUUCAACCCUCCUAAGAGGAAUUGAACCCAUGACCUCAUUGGGAUUAAGCCCUAAGAAAGGCAUGGUGGCCAAGUAGGCUAGGCCUAGUUGGUUUACUUUUGUCUAUUUAUUGUUUUUAAUAAUUAUACAAGUUUGUCAUAUGGUUGAACUUUUCUUGGGUUUUAAUUCUUGCUUAUCAAAUUAACGAAGCAGUUAAUUGAACUAACUUUUUUGUAGGUGGAUGAAACCCUGGAUUUGUUUAAUGAAUUACAACUACAGCAUCAAGUACUGGCAACAAAGGCCAAAACUCUUCAUGAUGCAUGUGAUCGACUGCUAAUAAAGAAGCAAAGACUCAUUGAAUUUGCAGAAGCACUUCGUAGUAAGCUCAAGUACUUUGAUGAAUUGGAAAACGUAAGGUUUGAUUGCUAUUUUAUCUAAGGGAUUCAUAUUACACCAACUCAUAUUUGUGUGGAAGCGACAAGUUCAAAAUUGAAGUUAAAAAUAACAAUGGAGUGACACUUUUCAUUUGAGAUUAUAGGUUUUAGAAAAGUAUAAGCAUGUAAAAAAUGAGUACACGGCUUGUGAGCUUGGUAAGUAGUGGCCAGGUAGUUAGGUCAAGCUCACACAAAUUUUUAGGAGCUUAACCAAAGUUUAUGGUGUGGAACAAGGUGAGAUAUUUGUUCAUUUGGCUAUGAAAUUAGUUUACUGUAGCACUUGAUCUCUCUCUCUCUCUCUCUCUCAUGUAUAAGCAUAAAUAUGCCUUUUGACUAAAUUAAUGGAUUGCAGAGUUCUCAUGAGUUGUCUCUUGACAUUUUGUUUUUUGUUUCAAUUUAUUGAGUGAAUAAUUGUGUGGACCUUUUAUUCACUCAUUGGUCCAUCUCUUUAUCAAAGCCCCAACGAAUACAUGGGCAUGGCAGGGCAGAGAAGAAGGUAAUGAAGCACGGAGAGAAAGAGAGUUUAUCAAUUCUUCAACUAUUUGUUUACAAUGGUUCUUGUAUUGUAGUCUUGGAGGUAAAUUUUACAUGUUAGUCCUGAAGUCAUAGAAGGUGUAUCUCUCAUUUUGAUUUCAAUCUGAGAAAUGUGUUAACCUUGAAUUAUUGUUUGUUUAGGUCACAGUGGUUAUUAUGCUUAGUAGAAUCAACGUUGAGUUGAGAAAUGAAAAUGUUGAUGCCAAUCUAUUGUUUUCUUGUAGAGAAUGGAUCCAACCCCACAAUGGCAGCUGCAAUAACUGCUGCGGGUGAUUAGCAAUUGCAAUAGAUUGCAAAUGUAUCUCAUAAAGAGAAAAAGAAAGAGAAAGAAACAUCAAUUGCAAGUAACGACAAUGGCAAUGACAUUGGCAAAGAAAGCCCCCAUUUGCAUGAAGAAAUUGAUUUACCAGAAAGGUAUAUUAUUUUUUGGAUCAACAGAAAUGCAAUCCAUAAUAGCUUGGAACACAACCUCCCUAAUAGUCCCUUUGCAUCUCCUAAAGCUGCUAUGGAUUUCUUUGAUGAUAAAUUAGCCAUAAUUAGAUGAUUUAGUUUAGUUCUGCAGGGAUUUUUUGUGGCUUCUUUUCUUCAAUCUCACUACUAUUGUUACUCUUAAAGGUAUUAAGAAGUUCUCCUCAUUCGUUCGUUAUUUAAAUCCUUUUAUUUUCAUUUCAGCUUUCAAUCUCUUACUCAAUUCACUGUUAUUUACAUGGCUUAUUCCAAAUAUCUGUUUUCCAUAACUUAUGUUGAUUGCAUAAAGUUAAGAAGCAAACUUUAGGCGAUUGUCAGAUCUAAAUCAGCACAGCAACAGAGGUUAGCUGCUACUUCUUAGCUCAUGGCUUCUAUUUUCUGUUCUAGUUGCAAACAAAUGCAUGAAUCUCCUCUUCCAACAACAGCAAAGUGAUACCCAAAGGGCCGCUGCGGCGUUGAUGAUGGGUGAGGAUAUGCACAAAUUCGAGCGAUCCCGGCUUGAUAAGAACGAGUUUCCGAUGAACGGUGGGCUGGAAAUGGUGAACCCCGAUUCAAGACAGAUCUACUUGACUUUUCCAGCUAAUAGCACAAUUAGAGAAGAGGAUGUUUCCAAUUAUUCCAGGUGAGUAGAAGGAUGCUCAACUUUAACCGUAAUGAACCCAAGAAAGAAUGUCAAGUUUGUGAAGUCGACCAUGACACGCCUUACAAACGAGGCCUUAGUUUCAGAACUAUCGUUUUGACCCUUUUGUCUUUUUUUGAUGGUCAUAUUUGACUUUAUCUGUAUAUGAGCUAUGAUUUUGUAUAAAUAUAGUGUUACAUGGAGCCAGACAUAGAAUGUUUUUUUAUGUGGGUAUGUUUGGUGUGAGUUAUUAAUACAAGAAACGUUUUUUGUUCA